GGGACCUUGGCAUAAACCUUGUGUUGCGUUGAGGGGGCCUCCCACCACUGUCUCUGCUGUGGUCACAGCCCUUCCCUGAGGAAUGAGGAAAUGGAACCGGCCAUGGCUCUGCUGCCGUGGGAAGAGAGGGGCACUGUGGCAAGAACAAGCCCAGAGCCUCCUUCAAACAUCAGAGGCCUCCUGACAUCCUCUGCAGGACUCAUCCCAACCUGGAAUCAUCUCCGCCUUGUUUAUGUGUAAAAUGUGAAGCUUAUGUUGGGCCCUUCCUUAUCCUCCACCCUCUCCUAGCAUCCAUCAGGCAGGGACGCCCAUACAUGGGCAGGAUCGGGACCAUCAGGAUAGCGACAGCAAGAAAAACAGUGAAAGCUUGGGUGUCACGUACUCAAUGUCCAGCAUGAGCCUCAGACCUACCUUGAGCUGAUCAUCUUCAAAAAAACACUUUAAGAAAAAAAAAAAAGUGGAGGUUGGAGGGUGUCCUAAAUUUCAAAACCGAUCAGUUGCUAUUGAGAACAGAGCUUGCAGCAGAGAUGAGCUUUUCCUGUGCCUCCUAGGCCCCGGAGCUCGGGGCAUGAUGUCCAGGCGGAGGCCUCUAGGGGAGAAGACAGCAGUUUCCAUGGAAGGGGCAGGAUAUGCUGCUGUCAGGACAGAGUCCUGCAGGAGGGCUCAGGUCUAGCUCCCAUGUCAGGUAUUGAUUGGAGAAAGACCUCAAGCUCAGAGGACCUGCAGCCCUGGGGGAGCCAGAAGGGCUUGGCUAGCCAUGGGACACUGCCACGCUACCUGUGAGAAACGGCCUGGCCUCUUCCAUGGCCAGAGGAGGGUAGGGGGGUGGGCAGCUCUGUUACUCAGCUGCAGAGGCCGCACAGCCAGGAGCUGGAAGCCACAUGGGGCCAGGCAGGGCCGCUUCCCACAGGUGAGGGUGCUGAGCCCCACCAGACAAGCGCAGAGUGGACGCCGAGCUGCAGGGAGGAUGCUGAGCUCAGUUCACGCAGCAGGCUCUAGGGUUUAUCUACCCGGCCUCGCUGGCUGGAAAUAUUCGCUUAGAUAAUAAGAUAAGGAUGAAAUCAUACAUAGAAAAUGAAGAGAACUGCAACACGCUGCACACACUUAUUUCAGGGGCUGCUCUCGCUGUUCCUGUGCUGUGUCCCUGGAUGUGGGGCCUGUCCUGUUCAUGGUGCAGUCUCAGAAAACAUGAGGGAUGCCGCUGUCCCCAUCUCCUAGGCCGACGUCCAGGAAGCUGCAGCUUAGACGCUGGGCAGGUGAACCUCAAAGCUGGACUCUGGGUUCUCACCAAAAACUGGCCCCCUCGCCACCAACUCCAAUUUGUGCUGACCCCACACCCGGCAGGGUCUGCUUCGCGUCAGGAACAGGGACAAGGGGGAUGGUCAGUGCUUGAUAGGUACUGAGCACGGCUCUAUGUCCCCAGGUGCUUCGCAGAGGAAAGAUGGCAUUCAACUCCUGUUAUGCAUCUGGGGCGGGCAGAGCCGCAUUUCAGCCGUGCAAACAAAUGCCAGUGUAGGGAGAGAAAACGCGUCUGGUCAAAUCCAGUCCAGGGCCCCCCUUCCUACCCUUCCCCUCAGUCCCCUGCAGGGUCCAAUUACCCACUCCAGGGGCCAGCCCACGUAUAUGUGUGUGUAUGUGUGUGUGUGCAUCUACACACUGUACACAUAUGCACACUUUGCACACAGACACCCACACAUGUAAGGGUGCUAUCAGCUUUUAAUAUUGCUAAGGGCUGAAUUUGGUUUCCCGACAAAUCCCUAUGCUGAACCCUAACACCCAGCGUGGCUGCGUUUGGUGUGAGGAAGUAACGAAGGUAAACCAAGGUAGCGAGACGGGGACUCUGAUCUGAAUGGAUCAGGAUCUUUCAGGAAGAGACACCAGCCUGUCUCCCUGAGGACACGGCGAGCAGGCAGCCAGGAAGAGGCCCUCCCCAGGAGCCGGGUCUGCCCACGCCUUGAUCAGCCUCCGGAACGGAGACUGGGGGUAAACUCAGUACCUGGAGGUCCGUGUCAUUCUCAUCGCUCUGACUGUGUUCUUCCCGCAUUGCUGUGAAGACAUCUUUCCUCUCCCCACGUUCAUGAAAACCGUGCAGCAAAGAGGGAGAAAAGGAACAGCGUUUGCCAGGAACCUGCGCUAUGCCAGGCGUGAUCCGAGGGUCCCAGCCCACCUGCACCACGCAAAGGGAGUCAGAAACCCGGGGGCCUGCAUUUCAUCCACCCUGACUCCACCCUGCAAAGCACCCUUCCGAAAAUCAACACUCAGGGGAAAGCUUUACAGGCACUGGAUGAACAGCGGGUAAAGCCAAAAUAAAAGCAUUGUUGGCAGACA